CCUACGGGUGGCAGCAGUGAGGAAUAUUGGUCAAUGGGCGAGAGCCUGAACCAGCCAAGUAGCGUGAAGGAUGACUGCCCUACGGGUUGUAAACUUCUUUUAUAUAGGAAUAAAGUGAUGCACGUGUGCCUUUUUGUAUGUACUAUAUGAAUAAGGAUCGGCUAACUCCGUGCCAGCAGCCGCGGUAAUACGGAGGAUCCGAGCGUUAUCCGGAUUUAUUGGGUUUAAAGGGAGCGUAGAUGGGUUGUUAAGUCAGUUGUGAAAGUUUGCGGCUCAACCGUAAAAUUGCAAUUGAUACUGGCAGACGUGAGUACAGUAGAGGUAGGCGGAAUUCGUGGUGUAGCGGUGAAAUGCUUAGAUAUCACGAAGAACUCCGAUUGCGAAGGCAGCCUACUAAACUGCAACUGACACUGAUGCUCGAAAGUGUGGGUAUCAAACAGGAUUAGAUACCCUAGUAGUC
rnacentral:rRNA from 1 species